GACGAACGCUGGCGGCGUGCCUAAUACAUGCAAGUAGAACGCUGAAACUUGGUGCUUGCACCGAGCGGAUGAGUUGCGAACGGGUGAGUAACGCGUAGGUAACCUGCCUGGUAGCGGGGGAUAACUAUUGGAAACGAUAGCUAAUACCGCAUAAGAGUAGAUGUUGCAUGACAUUUGCUUAAAAGGUGCAAUUGCACCACUACCAGAUGGACCUGCGUUGUAUUAGCUAGUUGGUGGGGUAACGGCUCACCAAGGCGACGAUACAUAGCCGACCUGAGAGGGGGGUCCGGCCACACUGGGACUGGAAACCGGCCAAAACUCCAACGGGGGGAAGAGGUGGGAAAUCUCCGGCAAGGGAGGGAGGCCGAACGAGGCAACGCGGCGGGGGUAAGGAAGGUUUCGGAAUCGAAAGGUUCUUUGUAAGAAGAGAAAGAGGGGGGAGAGUGAAAAGUCAAAAUGGUGACGGUAUCUAACAGAAAGGGACGGCUAACUACG
rnacentral:rRNA from 1 species